UCAAAAUUAUAUAUUAUAACUUGUCGGCGUUCUAGUUUCUAAUAGCAAUAGCAUUGCUAACAAUUUGUGCCAACCCUAAUUCUGAUAGUUUUGGCUCCAAAUUAUUUUGGCGGUUGUUGGAUGCAUCUGUGUAGAUCUCCAUUUAAUCCAUUUGUUCCCAAUCAGUUCAGAUUCAAAUGCUAUUAGUAAAUGUUGUUCCAUUUCCUAUGUCAUUUACAACCUUUACUCUCUCUAUCCCUCUUUUUUUUCUCUCUCUAUCGGAAGAAGCUUCUUCCUCUUGUUAUUAAGCUUUUACUGUAGAAUUGGAUACUGGUUAAUUGACUUGAAAUGUAAUUAAAUACAAGAGGAAGUAACUGAAAGCUAGAAAAUAAAGGAACCACUAAUCCCACGUUUGACAAUUCCUAAUAACAUGGGAUUCUCCUAAGGAAUAAGUAAAAGCAACAGUAUUCCUUACAAGUAGGAAUUUAUUAAGGAAACAAACUACUAAAAACUCAACACCCUCCCUUAAACUGAAUCAUAUCUAUGAAUCAGUUUAAAACUAAACUUGAACAAACUCCAAGUAAAGCUCGCAGCUUCACAAAAGCUUCUAACUUUAGAGACUUGGUCAUGAUAUCUGCCACUUGGUCUUCACUUCGACAAUAUACCAAAUCUAUGGUUCUGUCAGUAACAAGAUCACGAAGAAAAUGAUAUCGCACAUCUAUGUGUUUACUUCUCCCAUGUAAAACUGGGUUCUUGGAGAGUUUGAUAGUUGAACUAUUAUCACAGUGAAUCACAGUUGGCCUCUCUUGAUAAAAAUGUAACUCUUCAAGAAUUCUUCUUAGCCAAAUUGCUUGGCAUGCUGAAGUUGCUGCAGCUAUGAACUCCGCUUCAGUUGUGGAUAAAGUAACAACUUGUUGCUUCUUUGAUGCCCAUGAUACAGCAGCUGAUCCCAUCAUAAACACAUGACCUGAUGUACUUCGCCUAUCAUCCAAAUCACCCGCAUAAUCGCUAUCCGUGAAACCGGUCAAAACAGAUCCUCCAUUUUUCUUAUAGAAAAUACCAAAAUCUAUUGUUCCUUUCAAGUAACGAAACACCCUUUUUGCAGCUUUGAGAUGCAACUCUGUUGGUCUUUCCAUAUACCUACUAAUCAGACACACAGCAUACAUUAUAUCAGGCCUAGUGGCUGUCAAGUACAUUAAACUUCCAACAAUUUGUUUGAAGUAAGUACUGUCAACCCUCUCCCCAUCAAGAUCACUUGAGAGUUUCAAACCUGGUUCAGUUGGAGUCCCAACUGGAUUACAAUUCUCCAUGUGAAAUCUCUCCAAAACCUCUUGAGCAUAUUUCUUUUGCCCAAUAAACAAACCAGCACCUGUUUGCACUACUUCUAUACCAAGAAAAUAUUUCAUUUUUCCUAAAUCGGUCAUGUCAAAAUCAGCCAUCAUAGAAUUCUUAAAAUCAGAAAACAUAGCCUCAUCAUUACCGGUGAAAAUAAGAUCAUCAACAUAUAAGCAAACUAUCAAUAUUUUACCUCCUUCUCCGGUUUUGAUGAACAAAGUAUGCUCAUAUGGGCAUUUUAUGAAACCUGCCUUCUCAAAGUGAUCUUCUAUACGCCUAUACCAAGCUCGAGGUGCCUGCUUUAGACCAUAUAAGGCCUUCUUCAAUUUGUAAACUUUAUGUUCGUUACCUUUUACCACGUAACCAGGAGGUUGCUCAAUGUAAACUUGCUCAAGUAGUUCACCAUUAAGGAAGGCGGACUUUACAUCAAGUUGGAAUAUAGGCCAUGAGUUUUGUGCAGCUAAUGAUACCACCAAUCGAAUUGUAUCUUGUCUUGCUACAGGGGCAAAAACUUCUUGAUAAUCAACUCCAUGCUCUUGCUUGUAGCCUUUCACAACCAGCCUUGCUUUAAAUUUGUCGAUUUCUCCCUUUUCAUUCAGCUUUGUCUUAUAAACCCACUUCACACCAAUGCUUUUUUGUCCUUUAGGAAGAUCAGUUAACUCCCAAGUCUUAUUCCUCUCUAUGGCUUCAAUUUCUGAAUCCAUGGCUUUUUUCCAUUUUUCUUCUUUCACUGCUUCUGCGAACAAUAUAGGAUCGGAACCUGCAAAUAAAGAAAAAUGUGCAGUAGCAUCCUCAUCAGAUAAUUCAUCGCCACUCACAUAAUCUAUCAUCCAAGCUGGCCUUGUCCUUUGUCGUGGUGGUUCUGAAACAGAUGGCUGAUCUUCAUUUGGAAUUGAGACACUUGAUGAAGGAUUUGGCGAAAUUUCUCCAAGGGACUGAGUAGGAAGCUGCAAUUCUGAUUCGGACUCUUGACUUUUCUCGCCAUCUUCUUCAACAUCAAUUAAAGUUUGUUGCUGCUCGGUGAUGCUCCAAUCCCAUUUAUAUUCUUCAUCAAAGAGAACAUCUCGACUGAUGAUUAUUUUCUCAGUAAUGGGAUUAUAUAACUUGUACGCCUUGGAUUCUUCACUAACCCCAAUAAAAACACAUUUCACACUCUUAUCGUCAAGUUUUGUUCUCUUUUCAUUUGGAACAUGUGCAUACGCUCUACAUCCAAAAACUCUAAAGUGAUCAACUGAUGGCCUGACUUCGCUCCAAGCUUCUUGAGGUGUUAUGUUUUUCACAGCAAGGGUAGGACUUCGAUUGAGUACAUGAACGCUCCAAUUGACUGCUUCUGCCCAGAAAGUCUUUGGAAUACCCCUUUUCACCAUCAUGCUUCGCACCAUGUUCAUAAUCGUCCGAUUCUUUCUUUCAGCCACGCCGUUUUGUUGUGGUGUGUAUGCAGCAGUAAGCUGCCUCCGUAUUCCAUGCGAUUCACAGAAACUUGCAAAGUUAUGUGAGUUAAAUUCACCGCCGCGAUCUGUGCGAAGGAUCUGAAUGUACUUUCCAGACUCUUUUUCAACUCGAGCUUUAAAGCUUUUAAAAACCAUAAAAGCUUCAGAUUUCUCUUGCAAAAAAUAAACCCAUGUUUUUCGACUAUAAUCAUCUAUGAAGGUAAUGAAGUACCUUUUGUUUCCAUUCGAGGUUGGAUUGAUUGGUCCACAGAUGUCUGAAUGCAACAACUGUAGACGUUGCUCAGCUCUCCAUGCUUUCCCUCGCGGGAAAGAGUCGCGAUGUUGUUUACCAACAAUGCAGUCUUCACACAUUUCUAUAGGAUUGUUGAUAUUGGGCAGUCCUUCCACCAUGUUCUUCUCAUAUAGUGUUUUUAAGCCUUUAAAACUCAAAUGACCAUAACGCAGAUGCCAUAACCAUGUUGGAUCUUGCCCUCUUGUCGACAAACACUUUUGAACACUAUGCUGAAUGUGUAGAGGGAACAUACGAUUGGAUGUCAUUUCUGCUUCAGCUAUCAGACCCUUCUCUGGAUGUUGAAUUUGACACCUACUUCGUUGGAUGAUGAUGAUGUAACCUUUUUCUUGCAGUUGUCCCAGACUGAUGAGAUUGCUUUUCAAAUCUGGGAUAUAAAACACACUAGAAAUUGUAUGCACAAUGUUGUUUUUCAUAUGGAGUUUAAUAUCCCCUUUUCCCAUGACAGAAAUGCAAGAAUUAUUACCAAGCUUUACAGUUUCUCUAAAUGUUUCAUCCAAAUCAUAAAACAAAGAUUUGUUUCCACACAUGUGAUUGCUGCAGCCCGAAUCUAAAUACCAAGUAUUACCUAGUGAAUUGUUCUUGUCAAUGUAAGCCAUCAAGAGCAACUCUUCUUCAGUUUCAGAAAAAUUUACCUUGGUUUCCUUCUCUUUGUCUGGGCAUUCAUAUUGAUAAUGGCCAUUCUUGUGACAAUGAUAACACUCCACCCUUGCCAUGUCAAAUCGGGCUCCUUGAUUGUAAUGUUGACGUCCUCUACCUCUGCCUCUUCCUCGAAAUCCCCCACGUCCUCUUCCUGGAGAAAUGGUUCCUUCAUGAGCAGUGACUUUCAAGGCUUGCUCCUCCACAUCAUAUCUAGUCAUCCUUUGCUCAUGAACUAGCAACGAGCUUUGCAACUCAUCAAUCGAAAGACUAUCAAUGUCAUUCGAUUCUUCAAUGGAACACACCACAUAGUCAAACUUGUGUGUCAUUGAGCGAAGGAUUUUCUCAAUGACUGCAACAUCAUCCAAUUUGUCUCCAUUAAUGCGCAUCUUAUUUGCAAUUGACAAUGUUCUUGAAAAAUAAUCAUUGACUGAUUCUCCUUCCUUCAUGUGAAGAAUUUCAAACUCUUUGCGAAGAGCUUGGAGUUGUGCACGUUUUACCCGUGCAGAGCCUUGGUACUUCUUCUUCAUUGAAUCCCAAAUGUCUUUAGCGGUGUCCUUCUUUAGGAUGGUCUCCAGUACAGCACGAUCUAUUGCUUGAAACAAAUAAUUCUUUGCCUUCAAAUCAUUCAAUCUCUGAUCUUUCAACACCUUUUUCUGUGCUUCUGUCAAAGUGGAUUCAUCUGCAGGUUCAGUGAUGCCAUUUUCCACAAGAAUCCAAUACUCUUUGGAUCGCAGAAAAUUUUCCAUCAACAUACUCCAAUGAUCAUAGUGACCAUUGAAGCGUGGAAUAGCAGGUUGAACAAAACUGCUGUUUUCAGAAGUCAUUGAAAGAGGAAAGAGAAAACUCUUGCUGCUGCAAGAAUGAAAGCUGCGGCUUUUUCAAAUCAGGCCCCAGUAGGGAGCUCUGAUACCAAUUGUUAUUAAGCUUUUACUGUAGAAUUGGAUACUGGUUAAUUGACUUGAAAUGUAAUUAAAUACAAGAGGAAGUAACUGAAAGCUAGAAAAUAAAGGAACCACUAAUCCCACGUUUGACAAUUCCUAAUAACAUGGGAUUCUCCUAAGGAAUAAGUAAAAGCAACAGUAUUCCUUACAAGUAGGAAUUUAUUAAGGAAACAAACUACUAAAAACUCAACACCUCUACCUCAGCUCUUCUUUUCAUUUUCGAUUUUCUCUCUGCUCUUCUCCUCUCUCAAUCGCUGUUUUUCUUCAUCCUCAUCGCCUACAGUUCCGGCCAC
rnacentral:lncRNA from 1 species